GGUGGCUCAGUGGGAGAGUGCUUGCCUUGCAUGCAUGAGGCACUGGGUUCGAUUCCUCAGCACCA
rnacentral:tRNA from 1 species